AGUGAACGCUGGCGGCAGGCCUAACACAUGCAAGUCGAGCGGCAGCGGGUCCCCGCGAGGGGAUGCCGGCGAGCGGCGGACGGGUGAGGAACACAUCGGAAUCUGCCUGGUUGUGGGGGAUAACGUAGGGAAACUUACGCUAAUACCGCAUGAGACCCUGAGUCGACGGACUGGGGGUGAAAGUGAGGGACCUUCGGGCCGUCACGCGACCAGAUGAGCCGAUGUCGGAUUAGCUAGUUGGCGGGGUAACGGCCCGCCAAGGCGACGAUCCGUAGCUGGUCUGAGAGGAUGAUCAGCCACACUGGGACUGAGACACGGCCCAGACUCCUACGGGAGGCAGCAGUGGGGAAUCUUGGACAAUGGGCGCAAGCCUGAUCCAGCCAUGCCCGC
rnacentral:rRNA from 1 species